AGGAGCGAUACGGAAAAAGGUCAACUCGUUCAAUCCCCAAAUUAUCGCAGCCAGCUAAUUUGCCCGAUUCAUUCGACCACCACUUUGCUUCUCCGCCCGUCAUCCAUGGCCGCCGCCUUCCCCAGCCCCAGCAACCGCCGCUGUCGUGUGUCCCGUCCCCGGGAACGGCCGCCGCCGCCUUCCCCGGCCACAGCAACCGCCGCCGUCGUGUGUCCCGUCCCCGGGAACGGCCGCCGCCGCCUCCCCCACACCUGGAAACCCCCACAUCCACCACCCCCGCCCCGGCAACCGCCGCCGCCUCCUCCCUCGACCCCGGCAACUGGCCACACCGCUGGUACUGCUCCCCGCGAGCGCGCGCUUCCUCCCUGGAUUUCCUCGCCGCCGCCGCCGCGGAUUCACCUCGCCGCCGCCUCCGAUUCACCUCGCCUCCAUGUCAGGGCCGACUCCCCCUUGUCCUCCUGCUGCCACACCAUGAGUCGGGAGCUCCUUCAACUCCGGUUAGAGACAUGAGCGCAGUACGCCAGUACAUGAUGCUUCAGGUGAGAAGUGCAGUGGCGAAAAAAGAGAGAACGCAGUGUCUUCUUCUAGCAUGACAGAUACUACCAGUGGUGCUACUAUUCAGCAAUUGACGAAACUUUCAGCAUAGUCUUUUUUUUUGUGAAGAAACUUUCAGCAUAGUCAACGGAAGUAAUAUGAACAUGUCAGAAUUUGUGUUGAUUCUCUCUUGUCCGUGCAGCAGCAGUUCUGCUCUCCUUAUUCUCUAUUGCAGCUUGCGAAUGCUAGGUAAAGCAUCUAUGUACGUGUGCGUUUCUAAUUCUCUCAUGCAUAUUCUCUCUGUACCUCUAAUUCUCUAUUAGUAUGUGCAGGCUAUUCGAUGCCAGUGCAUAAGUCCAAUCAUAUAGUAGUAAGAAGUGCAAGUCAAGAUAAUUUUUUUUUAUUGGAACUUCACUGCGAUAUAGUGUUAUACUUCAGAGAAUUGUUGUUCUGUAUUUCACCGUGAUGCCACAGAGCUUGACAUGCCGCCGCAGUAGCCUGACGAUGGAAGCCAAGCCACUGGUAUACGCCGGUGAGAGAGCCGGAGGAUGGCCUCUAGCUGCUGGAGCACGGAGUCAGCAGGAGGACGCACGAGGCUGCUGCCCUGCGUAACGCUUUGCUGAACCGCGAGCGCCCUGUUGCAGCAGUACGCAUGAAGUUCCGCCACCUGCUGCUAUAACAUGGAGCAAAAGCGAAGCUUGUGCUGCUCGGAUUGCCUAGGUUUCAUUUGCUUGUUUGGAUUGAUUUGCUGAUGCUGCAAUAUAUAGCUGUGUGCACAUGAUAGGGUAGAAUUUUUUUGGAUAGAUAUGCAUAGUGAUGUAGGGAUAUUAUUUCCGGGCUCCCAUAGAGUAGCUUCUCACGCCUCUGCUUGAACUGUCGCCGCACGUACAUCUGAACCAUUUCAGCUCCAUGUAUGGACUUUGUUGAUCUAUAGUUUUAGUCCCCAAGUUCAGUUCAUUUUGCGUGAAAUUCACCUUAUUUGCUGGACUUUGCCUCGUGAAUUUUGCUGUGAAGUUCAGGUCAUUCAUCUGUGAAGCAGCAGCAGCUUGUAGCAGUAGCAAAUUUGUUUUCUACUAGAAUGGACUGUGUUCGGCAGUACAGAAGUAUUGAGGAAAAAAGUGCAGGUCAAGAUAAAUAUCUAGAUGCAUUCACCGGUUGUUCUGCUGCCAGGGUCUCUUCCGGCAGCAUCCUACGGCGUUCUCCUGCUACAACCUCUUCCGGCAGCAGCGCUCCCUGAUUGCUUGGACGACGCCGGUGUCAAAGAUAACGAAGAUGGAAGGCCCUUGUGAGCUCCGCUUGGAGGUAGACCAGGUGACGAGGAUUUCUCUCCCCCAUAAUUCCUCGAGCUGGACGUGGUUGUAGGUAGCAUAAGUUGCCGAGCUGUCCAUGCAUGGAUCUCCGUACAUCCGUAUCCCUCAAGGACGUACAUGAAUAUUCUGCUCCUGCUGCUAGAGUUUUGUUCUUGGAUGGAUUCUAUUCGUGAGCAAAUGAUAGAGUGGAGGGAAUAAGGAUUAGCACGUGGGUGGUGUAAAUAAUUUCAUGGGUAUUAGCUUUAAUCA